rnacentral:snoRNA from 1 species
AAGAAACCGUACUUAAUUCUAAGGACGAGUAUUAUUGUAGUGGAAUUGUUCUGUUACAACUGAAGGUCUUCUGACCAUCAACUGCGACUUCCUAAGCAGUUUCCACUCUACAACUCAGUUCGAGAACAAGAGGGGCUCUAACGAACUUGGGACGUCUUGAUUAUAGACUUUCCAAUUGGUAAAAAGAGUCAGACAAUU